rnacentral:pre_miRNA from 1 species
UCUUAGGGAAUGAGCAAAGAAAGUGGUUUCUGGAGAUGGAAUCUACUCCUGGUGAAGAGGCUGUGAA